AAGGGAGCUUAAUUUCCAGGCAUUUGCCUGUUUGCUUCUUUGUUGGUGUAGGGUGUUUGGCUUGCUUGUUCUGGUUUGGUUCCGUGAACUUUAGCUUCAGGUUUUCUUGGUCUUGGGUCAUUGUGAAGACAUUGCAUCGCUGUUUCUUCCUGGUGCGGUUCGAGGCAAGUUUUCCGGCUCGUCAAAACUCAGAAGUCUUAUCUCUAGUCUCCUCCUCAAGGUUUGUGUUCGAGACUGGAUGCAAGAGUUAUGAUUAAUCUUGUGUUUGUAGUAGUUUUUGUAUGGAACCCGUUGUUUGGAUUUGAGCUUCCCC
rnacentral:lncRNA from 1 species